GAUAUUAGAUUACCAUAUGACGCUCGAUGCUCUGUAUAUGUCAGAUAAUACGGAGUCUGGUUCAGUUGUUUAUUGUAGGAAAUGAAAGAUUUUGAAUAAUUUUUAUCUAUUGACAAAUGGACCUUUAUAUUGAGUUUUUAAAAGAAUUGACGACACAGUUUUAUGUCCACCUCAGAAUAUUAUGAGGGAUAAUCCAUAUGAAUAGCCUUGAAAAAGACCAGAAAUAAAGGUCGAAACGUCGGCAUCUCAUUAAGGAUUUUUAUUUUCCCCUGUCCUCUUUGCCACUACAUGG